GAACACCACCUUUUAUGCCUCAUAGACCUGCAUCUCCACGGGGUCCAUCUCCUAGGGUUGCCUCUCCUAGGGUUGCUUCUCCAAGAGCUGCUUCCCCUCCACGAGCUGCAUCCCCUAGAGCUGCUUCUCCACCUCCACCUCCACCCCCACCCCCUCGAGCUGCUUCUCCACGAGUUGCUUCUCCAAGAGGUGCUUCUCCAAAACCUGCUCCUUCUAGGAUUGUUCGUCCUCGACCAGAACCAACUUUAAAGAACCAGCAUGCUUCAGCGACCCAAAUUCAAGCAGCCUAUAGAGGUUAUAAGGUAAGUCC
rnacentral:lncRNA from 1 species